CAUCUCUUUUUGAUAAUGAUUUAAGGUUUAAUCUGCUCAAUGAAAUUUAAAUAGCUGCAGUAAUUUAACUGUACAAAGGUAGCAUAAUAAAUUGUUUCUUAAUUAGAAACUUGAAUGAAUGAUUGGACGAGAAAUUAACUGUCUUUUUUUGAAUUAUUGAAUUUAACUUUAAGGUAAAAAGGCUUUAAUUUUUAUAAGGGACAAGAAGACCCUAUAGAGUUUUAUUGAUAUCUUGAUAAUAAAUUUUAUAUAAUUAAUUUUUUUUAUUGUUUUAUUAAUUUAGUUGGGGUUAUUAGAAAAUUAAUUAAAUUUUUCUUUUUGAAUCAUAGAUUUAUGAUUAAUAUUAUAUUUAUUAAAAAAUUUAAAUUAAAUUACCUUAGGGAUAACAGCGUAAUUUUUAUUAGAAGUUCUUAUUUUAAUAAAAGAUUGCGACCUCGAUGUUGGAUUAAAAUUUAAUUUUGAUGGAGAUAUCAAUAAUUUAAGUCUGUUCGACUUUUAAAAUUUUACAUGAUCUGAGU
rnacentral:rRNA from 1 species